rnacentral:lncRNA from 10 species
CUCACCUCGCAGCAGCCUUUCCAGGCCCAGCUCCCGCCUCCCGGCGGCCUUCCCCUGCCACGCUCGUGCCGGCCUCCCGGCAGCCUCCACCAGCCCGCUCCCACCCAGCCUGACGGCGCCUCCCGGCCCCAAGCUGCCUUCCUCGAUGUGGCCCAAAGUGGCCCAAAGCGUCCCAAAGUAGGCCUCGCCAGGCCCACCUCCUGCCCGGCGUAGGCCCUGAGGGGCGCGGCCCCUGCCCCAUACUGGCCUCUUUUGGGCCCUCUCUUACACCAGCCCCUGUCUCAGGAUUGUCUCUUCACGCCCAUCUUCUGCCUCAUAGUGGUCACUCAAGGCCUCGCUUUUGCCUGAUGAUUGCGUUUUCUGGUUUUGCUCUUGCCUUGUAUUCCCUUCUUCGGGAUACAGCUUUUACGUCUUCCAUGGUGAACCUCAUCAAGGAGACUAAAUCUUCCCUGGUCUGUCAUUUUUUUCACUUCACACCAGAGUGCCUUGGGAAAACCCCAUCUCUUCUUUUAACCUUGAGAGUGGAUUUCUGACGAAUUGAUAAUAAAUUUUUUCUCUGUGGUUUCA